rnacentral:rRNA from 1 species
UAGAGUUUGAUCAUGGCUCAGGAUGAACGCUGGCGGUAUGCCUAACACAUGCAAGUCGUACGAGAGUUUUUAACUCUAGUGGCGGACGGGUGAGUAACACGUGAGAAUUUGCCUUUAGGAGGGGGAUAACAAUUGGAAACGAAUGCUAAUACCCCAUAUGCUUUCGAGUGAAAUGGAUUUAUAUUUAUCCGCCUAGAGAGAAGCUCGCGGCUGAUUAGCUUGUUGGUAAGGUAAGAGCUUACCAAGGCGACGAUCAGUAUCUGGUUUGAGAGGACGAUCAGACACACUGGAACUGAGACACGGUCCAGACUCCUACGGGAGGCAGCAGUGGGGAAUUUUCCGCAAUGGGCGAAAGCCUGACGGAGCAAUACCGCGUGAGGGAAGACUGCCUAUGGGUUGUAAACCUCUUUUUUCAGGGAGGAAUCAAUGACGUGUACCUGAAGAAUAAGCAUCGGCUAACUCCGUGCCAGCAGCCGCGGUAAGACGGAGGAUGCAAGUGUUAUCCGGAAUCACUGGGCGUAAAGCGUCUGUAGGUGGUUUAAUAAGUCAACUGUUAAAUCUUGAGGCUCAACUUCAAAAUCGCAGUCGAAACUAUUAGACUAGAGUAUAGUAGAGGUAAAGGGAAUUUCCAGUGGAGCGGUGAAAUGCGUAGAUAUUGGAAAGAACACCGAUGGCGAA